rnacentral:rRNA from 1 species
UACGUAGGGUGCGAGCGUUGUCCGGAAUUAUUGGGCGUAAAGAGCUUGUAGGCGGUUUGUCACGUCGGAAGUGAAAACUCAGGCCUUAAUCCUGAGCUUGCUUCCGAUACGGGCUGACUAGAGGAAGGUAGGGGAGAGUGGAAUUCCUGGUGGAGCGGUGGAAUGCGCAGAUAUCAGGAGGAACACCAGUGGCGAAGGCGGCUCUCUGGACCUUUCCUGACGCUGAGAAGCGAAAGCGUGGGGAGCAAACAGG